AUUGAACGCUGGCGGCAGGCCUAACACAUGCAAGUCGAGCGAGCGGCGGACGGGUGAGUAAUGUUUGGGAAACUGCCUGAUGGAGGGGGAUAACUACUGGAAACGGUAGCUAAUACCGCAUACCAUCAGAUGUGCCCAGACGGGAUUAGCUAGUAGGUGGGGUAACGGCUCACCUAGGCGACGAUCCCUAGCUGGUCUGAGAGGAUGACCAGACACACUGGAACUGAGACACGGUCCAGACGCCUACGGGAGGCAGCAGUGGGGAAUAUUGCGCAAUGGGCGCAAGCCUGAUGCAGCAAUGCCGCGUGUGUGAAGAAGGCCUUCGGAUUGUAAAGCACUUUCGGCGGGGAGGCGUUACCCGCCGAAAAAGCACCGGCUAACUCCGUGCCAGCAGCCGCGGUAAUUC
rnacentral:rRNA from 1 species